AUUGAACGCUGGCGGCAGGCCUAACACAUGCAAGUCGAGCGGAGCGGCGGACGGGUGAGUAACACGUGGGUGACCUGCCCUGCACUUCGGGAUAAGCCUGGGAAACUGGGUCUAAUACCGGAUAGUGUGGGAUGGGCCCGCGGCCUAUCAGCUUGUUGGUGGGGUAAUGGCCUACCAAGGCGGCGACGGGUAGCCGGCCUGAGGGGGUGGACGGCCACAUUGGGACGGAGACACGGCCCAGAGUGCGACGGGAGGCAGCAGUGGGGGAUAUUGCACAAUGGGUGGAAGCCUUAUGCAGCGUCGCCGCGUGGGGGAUGACGGCCUUCGGGUUGUAAACUCCUUUCACCAUCGACGCGGUAGAUGGAGAAGAAGCACCGGCUAACUACGUGCCAGCAGCCGCGGUAAUAC
rnacentral:rRNA from 1 species